rnacentral:lncRNA from 1 species
AGGACCGGCAAUUCAGCUUGUUGUGCGUGAGUUAGUUCGUGUUCAACUCGAUAUAUAUAUCUCGAUUUUAUGUAUAUAGUUGCGUUGAAAUGUUUCUGAAGGCAUUAAGACCUUCGCACUUUUAAUUUUUUAGCUUUUGGAUCUAUCUUUCGGUCAUUGAACCGUAAGUCAACAAUGAUUGUUAUUUGUGUGUGUAUAUAUAUAAUACAAUUUUUUACUAUCCGGAUUUUAGACCAACUCAAAUUUAAAGAGAUUUUUAUUUUGUGAAUUUCAAUUAUUAGAUUAAGAUGUUAUAUUUUUAUUCUGUAAAUUUCAAUUAUUAGAUUAGGAUGUUAAAUUUUUAAUUUUCUUCCGGCUUUUCAAUAGUAGUAAUGCCGACAAUCUACCUUGAUGUUCGUGAGUAACCUCGUAUUUAGCUCAUUAAUAAAGAAGCAGAGAAUGAACUGAAUUUUUCAGUUGAAUAUUAAUUUUAACAAGGUAGCUAGUAUCCAACUUGUUGAUAGCCCUAUACAAGAGUCCACACAAUAAUACUAUAUCGAAUAUUAAAUUUUUAUAAUUUUUUUCUACUAAAAAUUAUUAUAUUACUGUUGAUUAGAUUUAUGCAACUUCACAUAUAUACUUUCAUGUGAAAUUAGUGAAGAAGAAAUCCCAUAUGAUAUGAUGUCAAGCCACUCUUAUUCUAUAUGUUAUAUAAGGAAAACUUUAAAUACCAUCCAUGUGGUUUCACACUUUCUCACUGUAAGACCAUAUGAUUUAAAAUGUAUCAAUUUAGUGUCCUGUGGUUUUCUUUUAUCUUUUUAUUAACGGUUCCACUAAUUUUUUCAUUAAAUUAUUAUAAAGGUAAAACUAAAGGAUACUAAAAUGAAUAUUCAAUAAACUUAGGUGCGGUAUCUGAAGUUUUUUUGCAUAUAAUUUAACGAAAUAUUAACGAAAAAGCUGACGAAAAAAUAAAAAUAAAACUAUAUGACACUAACUUAAUUGAUACACUUUAAACCAUAGGGUACUAAAGUGAGAAAGUGUGAAAUCACAUAAAUGGUAUUUGAAGUUUACUCUCUCUCUCUCUCUCUCUCUCUCUCUCUCUCUCUCUCUCUCUCUCUCUCUAUAUAUAUAUAUAUAUAUAGAGUUGAGCUAGAAUACUAUCGAUAGCAAACGGGCUCCGUUACCACCCAUUUAUUUUCGAUGAUGGAGUCUCCAAAUUGACGAUCGGCAUCAUUGAACAUGAUCUAUACUACUUGAAGUGUUUAGAAAUCAAAUUUUAAAUCUUUUCGACAUCAUUUGCCUAAUGAUCAAAGGGUUUCAAAAUUUAUAAUUUUAAUGGUCGAUAUGAGGUGUUUUCUCGUUUAACGGCGUAAAGAUAUCCAAAUCAAUUGAAUUUUUGUUAGAAAAUUCUUUAAACUAUUUAAAACAAGAUCUAUGCUCUUGAUCUUGAUUACAAGAGUCCUAUCAUCAUUUUUUAAAGAAUAUUUGUUUUCAGCUGUUCGUUUUUUUGUCCCCUCGAUGAAUAAAUGAACAAUAUCAAAAAUGUAUUAAAUUUGAUUUUUAAACACUUCAAGUGGUAUAGAUCAUGUUCAAUGGUGCCGAUCGUCGAUUUAAAGGCUCCAUCAUCGAAAACAAAUGGGUGGCAAUGGAGCCCGUUUGCUAUCGAUAGUAUUCUAGCUCAACAAAAUGGGUGGCAACGGAGCCCGUUUGCUAUCGAUAGUAUUCUAGCUCAACACACACACACACUCUCUCUCUCUCUCUCUCUCUCUCUCUCUCUCUCUCUCUAUAUAUAUAUAUAUAUAAAAUUGAGCUCCUAUGCUUUUAAAAGUACCAAGUUAUUGAUCCUUAUAGAUUUUGGUCAUUGAAUUAAAGGAUGUGCGGUUAAGAUGAUGUGGGUCCCCUAGAGUUGAGUGGAUGGUUGGUUGAAUAGUAUAAUCUAACGGUUGAAAAUGAUCAAAAACGUAUAUCUAAUGAUAAAAAAUUUAUAAGUACUAAAUGCUUGGUACUUUUACAAACACAAUUGCCAUGCAUCAUGUCCUUUUCAUAUUUAUCAUGUACAUAAAUACAAAUAUAUAUUAAACAUAUCAAAAAUUUAUUUUUCAUCAAACC